rnacentral:rRNA from 3 species
ACGAACGCUGGCGGCGUGCUUAACACAUGCAAGUCGAACGGAAAGGCCCUUCGGGGUACUCGAGUGGCGAACGGGUGAGUAACACGUGGGUGAUCUGCCCUGCACUUCGGGAUAAGCCUGGGAAACUGGGUCUAAUACCGGAUAUGACCUCAGGAUGCAUGUCUUGUGGUGGAAAGCUUUUGCGGUGUGGGAUGGGCCCGCGGCCUAUCAGCUUGUUGGUGGGGUUAAGGCCUACCAAGGCGACGACGGGUAGCCG